GAUGAACGCUGGCGGCGUGCCUAAUACAUGCAAGUCGAGCGAAUGGAUUAAGCGCUUGCUCUUAUGAAGUUAGCGGCGGACGGGUGAGUAACACGUGGGUAACCUGCCCAUAAGACUGGGAUAACUCCGGGAAACCGGGGCUAAUACCGGAUAACAUUUUGAACCUCAUGGUUCGAAAUUGAAAGGCGGCUUCGGCUGUCACUUAUGGAUGGACCCGCGUCGCAUUAGCUAGUUGGGGAGGGAACGGCUCACCCAGGCAACGAUGCGUAGCCGAACUGAGAGGGUGAUCGGCCACACUGGGACUGAGACACGGCCCAGACUCCUACGGGAGGCAGCAGUAGGGAAUCUUCCGCAAUGGACGAAAGUCUGACGGAGCAACGCCGCGUGAGUGAUGAAGGCUUUCGGGUCGUAAAACUCUGUUGUUAGGGAAGAACAAGUGCUAGUUGAAUAAGCUGGCACCUUGACGGUACCUAACCAGAAAGCCACGGCUAACUACGUGCCAGCCGCCGCGGUAA
rnacentral:rRNA from 1 species